rnacentral:rRNA from 1 species
AUAGAGGCCUACCAUGGUGGUAACGGGUAACGGGGUGUUAGGGCACGACACCGGAGAGGGAGCCUGAGAAACGGCUACCACAUCCAAGGAUGGCAGCAGGCGCGCAAAUUACCCAAUCCCGACACGGGGAGGUAGUGACAAUAAAUAACAAUACGGGGUUCUUUAGGAUCUCGUAAUUGGAAUGAGUACAAUUUAAAUCUCUUAACGAGGAACAAUUGGAGGGCAAGUCUGGUGCCAGCAGCCGCGGUAAUUCCAGCUCCAAUAGCGUAUAUUAAAGUUGUUGCAGUUAAAAAGCUCGUAGUUGAAUUUCGGGGUUAGUAGGUUGGUCAUGCCUCUGGUAUGUACUGGUCUCACUGAUUCCUCCUUCCUGAUGAGCCGUAAUGCCAUUAAUUUGGUGUUGCGGGGAAUUUGGACUGUUACUUUGAAAAAAUUAGAGUGUUUAAAGCAAGCUAACGCUUGAAUACAUUAGCAUGGAAUAAUGAAAUAGGACGUUCGAUCCUAUUUUGUUGGUUUCUAGGAUUGACGUAAUGAUUAAUAGGGAUAGUUGGGGGCAUUAGUAUUCAAUUGUCAGAGGUGAAAUUCUUGGAUUUAUUGAAGACUAACUACUGCGAAAGCAUUUGCCAAGGAUGUUUUCAUUAAUCAAGGACGAAAGUUAGGGGAUCGAAGACGAUCAGAUACCGUCGUAGUCUUAACCAUAAACUAUGCCGACUAGGGAUCGGAUGAUGUUAAUUUUUUAAUGACUCAUUCGGCGCCUUACGGGAAACCA